GACCAGACUAUCAGCCAUUAGUGGAUAAUAAAAGAAUAAUUGAGAAAUUACAAGAAAGAAUAACAUUAAUGAAUAUGGAACUAAUUACUGAAAGAGAACACAAUGAGAAGAUUAAAAAAGAUAUUGAAGAUUUGCAACAACUAAUGACUGAAAGAGAACACAAUGAGAAGAUUAUAAAAGAUAUUACAGAUCAUUUUAAAGAGACUGAGGAGAAAAGACAGAGAGGAGAAAAGAAACAAAAAAUUGGAAAAGAAAUGUUUGGAAUUAUAUUAUUUUGUAAU